CCUACGGGAGGCAGCAGUGGGGAAUAUUGGACAAUGGGGGGAACCCUGGUCCAGCCAUGCCGCGUGUGUGAAGAAGGCCCUCGGGUUGUAAAGCACUUUCAGUGAGGAAGAACGCCUGGUGGUUAAUACCCAUCAGGAAAGACAUCACUCACAGAAGAAGCACCGGCUAACUCCGUGCCAGCAGCCGCGGUAAUACGGAGGGUGCGAGCGUUAAUCGGAAUUACUGGGCGUAAAGCGCGCGUAGGUGGCUUGAUAAGCCGGUUGUGAAAGCCCCGGGCUCAACCUGGGAACGGCAUCCGGAACUGUCAAGCUAGAGUGCAGGAGAGGAAGGUAGAAUUCCCGGUGUAGCGGUGAAAUGCGUAGAGAUCGGGAGGAAUACCAGUGGCGAAGGAGGCCUUCUGGACUGACACUGACACUGAGGUGCGAAAGCGUGGGUAGCAAACAGGAUUAGAUACCCGGGUAGUC
rnacentral:rRNA from 1 species